rnacentral:rRNA from 1 species
GUGCCAGCCGCCGCGGUAAUACGGAGGAUGCAAGCGUUAUCCGGAAUGAUUGGGCGUAAAGCGUCUGUAGGUGGUUUAUUAAGUCUACUGUUAAAGAUCAGGGCUUAACCCUGAGCCGGCAGUGGAAACUAAUAAGCUUGAGUACGGUAGGGGCAGAGGGAAUUCCCGGUGUAGCGGUGAAAUGCGUAGAGAUCGGGAAGAACACCAAUGGCGAAAGCACUCUGCUGGGCCGAAACUGACACUGAGAGACGAAAGCUAGGGGAGCGAAUGGGAUUAGAUACCCCCGUAGUCC